GCUUCGGUCGUUCAAUGGAUAGGACUGCAGUUUCCGGUACUGCCAAUACGGGUUCGACUCCUGUCCGAAGCGCCA
rnacentral:tRNA from 1 species